AGGAGAGAGGGUCUCCUUUCAGAAGGAAAUAGCAGCAACAAAAAUAGGAAGAGUGGUAGUUUGUGGUUGUUGCAUGUUAUUGCUUCUGUUUUCAACAACCCUCUGGAGCAAAAACUAUUAUUUCCCUCGUGAAGAGGAGGAAACUGAGGUUUAGCAAUGUUGUGACCUGCCAGGAGGAGGAGGAUGGAGCAACGAGCUUGUCUGACCUCAGCACGCCCUAACCCUACUAUCCACAGGGAUUGCUUCCAAGUGCAUAGUACGACGAGAGCUUGGUGUGUACAAGUGUUGUCUGGCAAGUUUUCAAGGAAAUCUUUGAUCGUGUCUUAAAGUGCUUUUGCUGGGAGGCACUCGGGGCAGAUCACUGGCUUUUGGGAAAGCAAGGCCCUAUGUUGUGAACAGCCCUACAGAGGGGCCCAUGAAGCAAGAAAUGGAAAUGUUCUGCUAAGAGCCAUGGGCAGGAGCUGGAAGCAGAUUGUCCCACCCCAGUCAAGCCUUCAGAUGACUGCAACACAGCCGACAGCUCAGCUGCACCCUCAUCGGACUCUGAGCUGCAACCACUCAGCUAAGCUGCUCCCAGAUUCCUGACUCGCAGACACCAAGCUCUUCGCCCUGUUGGCUGCCCUCCGAUGGCUCCACUGAAGAUUUUUUUGCAUCCUCCAAAGUUUGGUAAGGAGCCACCAAGGCAGAAUGGAAGGAGACUAUCACCUCCAUUGUUCUCGUCUUAAAGUAGACUAAGACCACGUGUGUCCUUUGGGGAGGGUAGGGGGCACCCUAUUACAU